GAACGGGAACAGAAUGAAACCUAGUGAUUUUUGUUUUAGUGGCGGACGGGUGAGUAACGCGUGGGUAACCUGCCGUAUACAGGAGGGAUAACACUUAGAAAUAGGUGCUAAUACCGCAUAAGCGCACAGCUUCGCAUGGAGCAGUGUGAAAAGCGUAAACGGUAUACGAUGGACCCGCGUCUGAUUAGCUAGUUGGCGGGGUAGAGGCCCACCAAGGCGACGAUCAGUAGCCGGCCUGAGAGGGUGACCGGCCACAUUGGGACUGAGACACGGCCCAAACUCCUACGGGAGGCAGCAGUGGGGAAUAUUGCACAAUGGGGGGAACCCUGAUGCAGCGACGCCGCGUGAGUGAAGAAGUAUUUCGGUAUGUAAAGCUCUAUCAGCAGGGAAGAAAAUGACGGUACCUGACUAAGAAGCCCCGGCUAACUACGUGCCAGCAGCCGCGGUAAUACGUAGGGGGCAAGCGUUAUCCGGAUUUACUGGGUGUAAAGGGAGCGUAGACGGUUAUGCAAGUCUGAAGUGAAAGCCCAAGGCUCAACCAUGGGACUGCUUUGGAAACUGUAAAACUGGAGUGCAGGAGAGGUAAGCGGAAUUCCUAGUGUAGCGGUGAAAUGCGUAGAUAUUAGGAGGAACACCAGUGGCGAAAGCGGCUUACUGGACUGUAACUGACGUUGAGG
rnacentral:rRNA from 1 species